GGCCAGCAGAUCUGGAGUCAUAUACUAAAAUUGGAAUUAUACAGAGAAGAUUAGCAUGGCCUUAGGGGAAGGAUAACACUCAAAUUCAAGAAGUGUUCCAUAUUUUU
ensembl:snRNA U6 U6 spliceosomal RNA